rnacentral:rRNA from 1 species
UGCGUAGGCGGUCUUUCAAGUCGGAUGUAAAAUCUCCCGGCCCAACUGGGAGGGACCAUCCGAUACUGUUGGACUAGAGUGUAUCAGAGGAGAGUGGAAUUCCCGGUGUAGUGGUGGAAUGCGUAGAUAUCGGGAGGAACACCAGUGGCGAAAGCGGCUCUCUGGGAUAUAACUGACGCUGUUGCACGAAAGCGUGGGUAGCAAACA